CUAAUUACUGCUCCUCACCUGUCUGACUCAAAUCCCUCCACUGCUGAGACAGGGACAAGAGAAGUGUGCCAGCUCAGAGGGAAGCAGGAGCAGGAGCACCAGACCAAAAACAGCGAAAAGAUCCUUGACACAUUAAAGCCAAUUGGGUGGCAGCACUGACCUGGACUCUUAGAUCAGUCAUCUGGGACAGCAGGUCAUGGAACACAUCUCUGUCUACAGCAGGCAGCUCAGAGGACAGCACUACCCCCACAUAGUAGCCUGGACCUGGCGCCAUCAUGUCCGGAAACAUAAACACACCAGUGUUACACAGCAACACCGGCGAGUUCAUGGCCAUGAGAGGGUACAGCCAGUCGCACACCUG